GACGAACGCUGGCGGCGUGCUUAACACAUGCAAGUCGAACGGAAAGGCCCUGCUUUUGUGGGGUGCUCGAGUGGCGAACGGGUGAGUAACACGUGAGUAACCUGCCCUUGACUUUGGGAUAACUUCAGGAAACUGGGGCUAAUACCGGAUAGGAGCUCCUGCUGCAUGGUGGGGGUUGGAAAGUUUCGGCGGUUGGGGCUGGACUCGCGACUUAUCAGCUUGUUGGUGGGGUAGUGGCUUACCAAGGCUUUGACGGGUAGCCGGCCUGAGAGGGUGACCGGCCACAUUGGGCCUGCGAUACGGCCCAGACUCCUACGGGGGGCAGAAGUGGGGAAUAUUGCACAAUGGGCGGAAGCCUGAUGCAGCAACGCCGCGUGCGGGAUGACGGCCUUCGGGUUGUAAACCGCUUUCGCCUGUGACGAAGCGUGAGUGACGGUAAUGGGUAAAGAAGCACCGGCUAACUACGUG
rnacentral:rRNA from 1 species